GAGUUUGAUCAUGGCUCAGGACGAACGCUGGCGGUGUGCUUCACACAUGCAAGUCGAACGGGGUAGCAAUACCCAGUGGCGGACGGGUGAGUAACACGUGGGAAUCUACCAUAAGGUGGGGAAUAACAGGCCGAAAGGUCUGCUAAUGCCGCAUAUGUAGGCAUCUCGACAGAGGUGUUUAUGAAAGGAGUAAUCCGCCUUUUGAUGAGCCCGCGUCCGAUUAGCUAGUUGGUAGGGUAAAAGCCUACCAAGGCGACGAUCGGUAGGUGGUCUGAGAGGAUGAUCACCCACAAUGGGACUGAGACACGGCCCAUACUCCUACGGGAGGCAGCAGUGGGGAAUUUUACGCAAUGGGGGAAACCCUGACGUAGCGACACCGCGUGAGCGAAGAAGCCCUUUGGGUGUAAAGCUCUGUCAACAGGAACGAAAUCAAUGACGGUACCUGUGGAGGAAGCAUCGGCUAACUACGUGCCAGCAGCCGCUGU
rnacentral:rRNA from 1 species